AUUGCAAGAUACCACCUCUUUGCUACCACAGAAAGAUCUCAGAGUGAGAACACCUUCUUCUAUGAUGAGCUGUGCACACAAAAAGGGCAAGAAAUGAAAUCUGGAACGUUUUGCUCUCUUCAUAAAGAACCUACUCCAGACUAACAGAUCUAGGACUGAUCAUUGGAAGACUGAUGCUGAAGCUGAAACUCCAAUACUUUGGCCACCUGAUGCAAAGAACUGACUCAUUUUAAAACACCCUGAUGCUGGGAAACAUGGAAGGCAGGAGGAGAAGGGGAUGACAGAGGAUGAGAUGGUUGGAUGGCAUCACCGACUUGACAGCCAUAAGUUUGAGCAAGCUCCAGGAGUUGGUGAUAGACAGGUCUACGAUCAAUUUUCGGAGAAGGCAAUGGCACCCCACUCCAGUACUCUUGCCUGGAAAAUCCCAUGGGCAGAGGAGCCUGGUAGGCUGCAGUCCAUGGGGUCGCAAAGAGUCGGACAUGACUGAGUGACUUCGCUUUCACUUUUCACUUUCAUGCAUUGGAGAAGGAAAUGGCAACUCACUCCAGUGUUCUUGCCUGGAGAAUCCCAGGGACGGGGGAGCCUGGUGGACUGCCGUCUAUGGGGUCACACAGAAUCGGACACGACUGAAGCGACUUAGCAGCAGCAGCAGCAGCGUGAUCUAAUUUGAACCAUCUUUUAAGUUUGUGUCUAUGUUUAUUGUUUCUGCAUAUUCACAUCCAAUUUCCCAGCAACAUUUGUUGAAAAACUAUCCUGUAUUCACUGAAUUACAUUUUACCCUUUGCCAAGAUUCAGUUGACUAUAUUUUUGUGGGCUCUUUAUUCUGUUCUGUUGAUUUUUGUGUCUAUCCUUGUGCCAAUACCACACUGCUUACUUUAAUAUACCCCUGGAUUGGGAAGUGGGAAGAUCCCUAGGAGAAGGAAAUGGCAACCCGCUCCAGUAUUCUUGCCUGGAAAAUCCCAUGGACAGAGAAGCCUGGUAGGCUGCAGUAGAAAGGGCCACAAAGAGGUGGACAUGAUUUAGAGAUUAAACAGCAGCAGCAGCAGCCUUGGAAUAAGUCUUGAAAUCAGGUUAAUAUGAAUAUUCCAAUUUUGUUCUUUUUCAGAAAUGUCUUGGUUGUUUUAGAUCUUUGCCUUUUUGUAUGAAUUUUGGAAUCAGCUUAUUGAUAUCAACAAAAAGUUUGUUAGGAUUUUGACUGGGAUUACUUUGAAUCAGUAGAUAAAGUUUGGGAGAACUGACAUCUUAAACCUUCUAAUCUGUGCACAUUCUAUCUC
ensembl:lncRNA